UGCAAGUUGUUUUCACUCCCUGGACAGAUGAAAUUAAAGAAAUAAACUCAGGGUGGGUUUAAAAUUUGUUUUUAACGCAUUUUUCUACUCGUGAUUUUGCUAAAAAUAGGAAAAACUAAAUUUUCAAAUUAAGAUUGUAAAAAAUCUAGAUUUAUCUAGUCGAGAGCCUCAAAACGAGACUAUCCCUAAAUGAUUCGUCAAAGAUUUCUUAAUUCACUAAUCAAAGUAUUGUUCAUAUAAAAAUACGGUCUAGUAAAUGUAGUCUGUAGUAGUCUGAAUAGGUGCCUCUGAAUAUUCCACUUUUGCAUGUGUUUGCUAAUACUGUUCGUAAAAGCAUAUUCGUUGAAAGAUUAGAGUCUAUUGAUUCAGAAAAUAUAAGCAGUUUUGAAAUCAUGCGAAUACGUUUCCAUCUAUCUCCAAUUUAAUACGGGGUGAUUUAUGGGGAUUAAGGUUAGCACAAUAAAAUAAAAAAAAUUUUAAAAAUAUUUUAAAAUCUAGCCGAGAGCCUCAAAACCAAAUAUGGUUUAAACUACUCCUUAAAACAUGUACUUUAUUUUGGGAGAUAAUUCAUUCAUCUAAAAAUACGGAAUAGUAGGAAUUAUUGGACAUUUCCGUCGGAAUCCGAGGCAGUUCCGAUAUACAAGGUUAUGUAAAAGUUGCAAUUUUAUAAAUAUUUUUAGCCUGUGAACGUUGUCAUACCUUCCUCGCCUUCCCAACAAUGCAAUGGAUUAACAAUUUUUUGGUUAGCAAAAAAAACGAGGCAAAAACGCAAAUAAAACGCUCAAAAAUCAAAUUACUGUAUUUACUCGCCCCAAGUCUCUUUCUCUUAUACCGCGCAAAAUUUAGCGCAUGCGCAGACAAAUUUCCCACCUGUUACCAACAGCAACAGAGGGGACUUUCGUCGACGCUGCAUGAAAAUAGUGCGGGCUCGAGAGCUUUUUCCCGCAAAUUUGCUUUUCGAUGUUUUGCUUACAAUUUCUAAGGAUUUUGAAGUUUACAUCAUUGUGAUUCACUGGUUUUUGAAAGCAUCUUUGCUUUUUUUGUUGGAAGUUAUAGACUAUCUCGUCAACAACCUAAUGACUGUUUUUAAAGCAAAGAAAUUGAAGGGAAAACUUAUAUUUUCAUACGAAGAAGAUGAGUGGCGAUAUUUAUGUUGAACUGUUUUGAGCAGAUGUUUCGAAGAACAUGAUAUAAUCGGACCUUGUAUCUUAAAAGUGUACUUGGAACAGCCGACCAAAGUGGUAAAUUUUUGUUACCCGGUGUGUUGGGCAUCAUAAUUCACAGGGAUAGUGCUCACCGGCGUUUAAACUGGCUAUGAAAUAUCCUGAAUACUUUGUCGAGUUCUCUACCGCCAUGUGACCUGUAGUUUAAUGUGGCACGCGUCUUUGAAAGGGCUUUACUUGACUUUAAUCGACGUGUAAGGUAUAACUUAGGUAAGCCAACAUUUCUUUGUAAUGCAAGCUACAUUUUCAUAUCUUUAAUGUGUGAAUAUUUUUAAUUUUGUAAGAACGGCUUCCUAGUGAAUUAAAUUAAUUGUCUAUCGUCUAACGAGUAGUAAUAAGCGCGAUUCCUAUUUGUUGAUGGAUGUUGAAAUCAUUUUAGACUUUUCUUCAUAUACAACAAGUACACUACCGAGCACUGAAUCACUGUUUGCAAAGAAACUAGCCUAUAUCACCUCCAUAAUUCCAGCUUAUUUUUAAAGUCAAAUAGUUUCUCCAUGGAUAAAAGUACGAAUAGGGCGAGUACGAAUUUAAAGAAGGUCAAUUUGCACUUGUAUAUCUCCGCUUCGAAAAAGAUAUGCAUAUAAAACAGGUAUAUUUGUACGGCGAAAUUAAACUGCUGCAACAAAGUUUUUAUUUCUACUUUCACGUUCUUAUUCCAAAGCAAACACUUCUAAGUCGAAAAUGCCUAAAAUUGUGAGCGUAGAAACACUAAAAAAAAACCCAAGAAAACGACUUCAUAACACGAGUAGUUUUAGCAACUGGUGUUUGUUUUUAGAAUUCAGUCACGCGAUCAACCCGCGCUCACGUGCACUCCACGCUUACGUUUCUCGCGCAUGCGUAGACGGAAGUUUACCAACAGCUAUAAAGUAAUGUAAAAGCGAGCAAAUAAAGGCGACAAUGUUAAAACAUACCCGAUUACUUUUCAUAUCACCUCCAAAGCGGAGUGAUUUUUGCUCCGCGUCGCGUACCGGAUUACUGUGGCGUAGUGUAAACAGCAGCUGAAUCCGGUAUGAAAAUCGCUACGCUCCGAAGCAAUCCGGUAUAGUGUAAACGGGGCUAUGUUCGUACUCGUAAUCAAAUCUAAAGCUUUCUAAUAACUAAUUUAUUCCAACUUCAUUUUACAUAUUCAUGCUUUCCUUUUCCUGGACAAUAGAGAGGUUCAGAUUUGACUUCCACUAUCACUACCGCUGCCACUAAGGGAAUAUCAACUAAUCAGAUGCGUUUCAUUCAUCCGAUUAACCAAUCACAGAUGCCGAAUUGACCACUUGGGUAAUAGACUAAAUUUUGAUCUAGACAAAAAUUUCAUCACAGCUUGAAAGCUGUCCAAUACGCUUUUGAGGCUGUCAAUUUCCCGUUUGUAAUCUAAAAUGACUGAAAAUUGCAAACUUCGCAGUGCAGCUAUAUUAUCCGCAUUUUACAACAUUUCGCAACGAAACUUUGGAGUAUUACUAAUUUUGUGAUGCUCUUUCAAGCUGUGAUGAAAUUUUUGUCUAGACUUGUUUAGAUCAAAAUUUAGUCUAUUACGCAAAUGGUCAGUAAGUCAGUGAGAGGUAGUGGUACCGGAAGUCAAAUAUGAACCCCUCUUUUAAUGUUAGUUCGACAGAAUGACUGUUCCUUUAUUCCACAAGCAUUGACUUUCGGUAUUGAAUAGGGGAAGUGGAGGUAGACAGUUGCGCAGACAGCUUACAUUGCACUGGUUUAUAGCGAUAACUAUUUGUCUUUUGUAUACCUGAAACCAAGGCGAUUCGGCUUGCGUCCAAUAAUUUGAAAAUAAACUUGCUAAGUAACUACACGCCUAUACAAUUUACGCGAGUUUAGAUUACAGGUAUAUACUCUGGCUUGCGCUGGUCGAGGUUUUUACCGCUUUACUUUCGAAUUAUUGGAUUGCUGUAUCCUUUGAUCAUUCCAAUCAGCGUUCAGAAUUUACAAAUGCUAUAUUAUAAAUCCAAUUAACCAAUCAGAUGAGUACUAAGCCAGUGAGAGGUAGUGGUAGUGGAAGUCAAAUGUGAACCUCUCUAUUCGAACUGACACAGUUAAGCCGGUUUUCCACUUCGCCCGUAUCGUAGCGAAACGUACUGGUGAGCAUGCGCAGAUUGAAAAGAGGUUUAUAAAUCCACGUACUUCUGGGUGUAUUCGCGUAUCAAAAUAAAAAGUUCGUCGCAAGUCAACUUUUUGGCGUACUACGGAAGUACUAACCAAUCAACAUUUAAGAACGUUUUUGAUACGUUUCGGUACGGUACGCUUGAAGUGGAAAACCUGUAUUCUUGGUUAAGCAAUUAGUCAGGCAGACAGGAAAAAACUUACCAUAUCGAGGGGCAAUUCCAUUUUUCCUGUCGGCGGCAUUAAAAUAGCUUGUACGCUCUUGCCAACAUGUUUUUCUUCGAAUUUUGUAUUUAGCUCUAUUACAGUUAAAAAUUAUGAAAUUUCAGAUACAUUUCUAAUACAAAUGACUUGCAUCAAUAGAAAGCUUACAAAAAAUUACAUAUGAGACAUUUUUAAAAUGGUUACUUGGGAUUUUCAAGUGGUUUUCGAGUUAUUGCUGUUCCAAAUGUGAAAAUAAGCCAAAAUCGCAUAAAUCCUGGGUACUAGUUUGAAAAGACGGUUUCAACAGCUCGUAACUCAAGAAGAACUUGGAAAAACAUGAAGAACUUGAAAAACCCUGGUAACCGUUUAAAUGUCUUAUAUGUAGUUUUUGCAAGCUUUCAAAUUAUGUAAGUCAUUUUUGUUAGCAAUGCAUUUGAAAUUUCACAUUUUUUAACUUUAAUAGAGUUUAAUACAAAAUUCGAAGAAAAGCGUGUCGGCAGGAGCCCACAAGAAAUUUUAACGCCGCCGACAAACAGAAACGUACUUACUAGCCUUCAGGGCAAUUUAGGGCACAAGAUGAACGCAAAAUAGAAUUGCCCGUCGAUAUGGUAAGUUUUCCAUAAUUUUUGUUCCUCUAUCUGCCCGACUAAAUCUUGUAUCAAGAAAAUUUAAAUUAAGCGACUUCGUCGUAAUUGAAUGUCACAUAGCUGCCUCCUCCGCAGGCCCUUGUUGCAUCAUGGGAAGGUCAUACACAAUCUGGCGAGGGCCUGCGGAAUCUUGUAAAACUGAAUGGCACCGGCGUCACGUCAGCAAUUAAAUUUAUACAUAAUCUUGAAUAUAAAAAGCGGCGUGAAACUUGUAAAUUAAACUGGCGACUCUUAGGACGUGGAAGGAAGCAUUUUUUAAAAGGUAUUGGCA